CCAAACAUGAAGCUGUUCAUACUUUUUCUGCUUGUCAGCUGCCUCUCUAUGACACUGCUACCAUCAGCCGUUGAAGCCGUGAGUGGCGGGAACUGCACGUGCAGAUAUCGAUGUUAUCAUUCGGAAUACGACAAGGGGCGCUGUGGAUAUCUAAGGAGGUGCUGCCCACGACGCCUGUUAGGAUAGGCUUAUGAGGCGAUGAACGAAAACAGCCUAAUACAUAUCUAUUGGAUUUAUGUUUUGUUUGUGG